UACGAAGGGGGCUAGCGUUGCUCGGAAUCACUGGGCGUAAAGCGCACGUAGGCGGAUCUUUAAGUCAGGGGUGAAAUCCCAAGGCUCAACCUUGGAACUGCCUUUGAUACUGGGGAUCUCGAGUCCGGAAGAGGUGAGUGGAACUGCGAGUGUAGAGGUGAAAUUCGUAGAUAUUCGCAAGAACACCAGUGGCGAAGGCGGCUCACUGGUCCGGUACUAACGCUGAGGUGCGAAAGCGUGGGGAGCAAACAGG
rnacentral:rRNA from 1 species